rnacentral:rRNA from 1 species
AUAAUCAUUAGUCUUUUAAUUGAAGGCUGGAAUGAAUGGUUGAACAAAAAAUAGUCUGUCUCAUUAUUAAAAUUAAAAUUUGACUUUUAAGUGAAAAGGCUUAAAUAUUGUAGAAUGACGAUAAGACCCUAUAAAGCUUAAUAUUACAAAAAUAAUUAAUAAUUUACACUUUAAAAUUAUUUAUUUCCAAAAUAUUGUGUUGGGGCGACAAAAAUAAAAAUUGUAACUGUUUAUUUAUUAAAAACUUGCAAUAAAAGAAAAAUGAUCCUUUUAUAAAGAUUAAAAGAUGAAGUUACUUUAGGGAUAACAGCGUAAUCUUUUUUAAGAGUUCAUAUCGACAAAAAGACUUGCGACCUCGAUGUUGAAUUAAGAAAUCCU